rnacentral:piRNA from 3 species
UUAGCUCAAAUGGUAGAGCGCUCGCU